rnacentral:rRNA from 1 species
UCUUCCCAUUCCGAACAGAGAAGUUAAGCCUGCUCACGCCGAUGGUACUGCACACCCGUGGGAGAGUAGGUAGCCGCCACUU